rnacentral:rRNA from 1 species
CCUACGGGGGGCAGCAGUGGGGAAUAUUGCACAAUGGGGUGAACCCUGAUGCAGCAACGCCGCGUGGGUGAAGAAGUACUUCGGUAUGUAAAGCCCUGUCAGCAGGGAAGAAAAUGACGGUACCUGACCAAGAAGCCCCGGCUAACUACGUGCCAGCAGCCGCGGUAAUACGUAGGGGGCAAGCGUUAUCCGGAUUUACUGGGUGUAAAGGGAGCGUAGACGGCAAGGCAAGUCUGGAGUGAAAGCCCGUGGCUCAACCUGGAGACUGCACUUGAAACUGGGUGUCUUGAGGGCAGGAGAGGAAAGUGGAAUUCCUAGUGUAGCGGUGAAAUGCGUAGAUAUUAGGAGGAACACCAGUGGCGAAGGCGACUUUCUGGACUGUACCUGACGCUGAGGCGCGAAAGCGUGGGUAGCGAACGGGAUUAGAUACCCCAGUAGUC